UGGAUCCAGACUUUGAUUAUGGCUCAGGAUGAACGCUAGCUACAGGCUUAACACAUGCAAGUCGAGGGGAAACGAUAGAGAAAGCUUGCUUUUUCUAGGCGUCGACCGGCGCACGGGUGAGUAACGCGUAUCCAACCUGCCCAACACUUGGGGAUAACCUUGCGAAAGUAAGACUAAUACCCAAUGAUAUCUCAAGAAGACAUCUGAAUGAGAUUAAAGAUUUAUCGGUGAUGGAUGGGGAUGCGUCUGAUUAGCUUGUUGGCGGGGUAACGGCCCACCAAGGCUACGAUCAGUAGGGGUUCUGAGAGGAAGGUCCCCCACAUUGGAACUGAGACACGGUCCAAACUCCUACGGGAGGCAGCAGUGAGGAAUAUUGGUCAAUGGGCGAGAGCCUGAACCAGCCAAGUAGCGUGCAGGAUGACGGCCCUAUGGGUUGUAAACUGCUUUUAUAAGGGAAUAAAGUGAGCCUCGUGAGACUUUUUGCAUGUACCUUAUGAAUAAGGACCGGCUAAUUCCGUGCCAGCAGCCGCGGUAAUACGGAAGGUCCGGGCGUUAUCCGGAUUUAUUGGGUUUAAAGGGAGCGUAGGCCGGAGAUUAAGCGUGUUGUGAAAUGUAGACGCUCAACGUCUGCACUGCAGCGCGAACUGGUUUCCUUGAGUACGCACAAAGUGGGCGGAAUUCGUGGUGUAGCGGUGAAAUGCUUAGAUAUCACGAAGAACUCCGAUUGCGAAGGCAGCUCACUGGAGCGCAACUGACGCUGAAGCUCGAAAGUGCGGGUAUCGAACAGGAUUAGAUACCCUGGUAGUCCGUACGGUAAACGAUGGAUGCCCGCUGUUGGUCUGAAUAGGUCAGCGGCCAAGCGAAAGCAUUAAGCAUCCCACCUGGGGAGUACGCCGGCAACGGUGCAACUCAAAUGAAUAGACGGA
rnacentral:rRNA from 1 species